rnacentral:lncRNA from 1 species
UCCUAAAAUCAACGGAUAAGACGUUGUAUCUUGAACGAAGAAAUGUUGCUCCGUCGCAACAUCCCCAAUCCAAAUUUUGACAUCUGGACAAGCUCCAUAUAAUUCGCCUCGUGUGUUAUUAGCUGCUCGUAUUGUCCAUCCAUGUUCCAUAUCAAUUGGCCAUUUUUGCUUCUUAUAAAGAUCUUUAGACAUGAGAUUUAUUUCAGAACCAUGGUCCACCAAAGCAACUAUUGGUUCUUCUAUAUCUCCUACC